AUUGAACGCUGGCGGCAUGCCUUACACAUGCAAGUCGAACGGUAACAGGUCUUCGGAUGCUGACGAGUGGCGAACGGGUGAGUAAUACAUCGGAACGUGCCUAGUAGUGGGGGAUAACUACUCGAAAGAGUGGCUAAUACCGCAUGAGAUCUACGGAUGAAAGCAGGGGAUCGCAAGACCUUGUGCUACUAGAGCGGCCGAUGGCAGAUUAGGUAGUUGGUGGGAUAAAAGCUUACCAAGCCGACGAUCUGUAGCUGGUCUGAGAGGACGAUCAGCCACAAUGGGACUGAGACACGGCCCAGACUCCUACGGGAGGCAGCAGUGGGGAAUUUUGGACAAUGGGCGCAAGCCUGAUCCAGCAAUGCCGCGUGCAGGAUGAAGGCCUUCGGGUUGUAAACUGCUCUUGUACGGAACGAAAAGCCCCGGGUUAAUACCCUGGGGUCAUGACGGUACCGUAAGAAUAAGCACCGGCUAACUACGUGCCAGCCGCCGCGGUAA
rnacentral:rRNA from 1 species